UGGACCACGGGGGCCGCGGACAAGGGUCAGUAGGCGGGAUGCAGGCUUGGGGAAGGGGCAUAAACCUCGAGGGUGGAGUGGAGGUCUGAGUAGGGUGAAGGAUGAGGAAUGAGGGGCCUGAGACAAGGGCCGAUAGGUGGGGCGCAGGCUUUGGGGCGUGGCAAAUGGCGGAGGGCGGGGCGGAGGGUGGGGCUGGCCUUUCCUCUUGAGUCUGGAACUCAGCCAGAAGUGACUAAGCUUCGUCUGGCCUGAACCUUCACAUUCCUCUUUCCCCUUGGCCCCUGGGUAACACAGAUGUCAAAGUCUUAAGCCUAAUACAUCAGAAUGUGACUGUUUGGAGACAGGAUUUUUGCAGAUGUCAAGACUGAGGCAUUGGAGUUAGCUGCCAUCCUCGUAAGAAGGGGAGUUAGGGUAAGUGUGCAAGCUGUGACAAGGCUUUGUGAAUGUGAGUUGGGCAGCCAUCAAGUCUGGGGGAAGCAGUCCUCCAGCCUCAUCACAUACUGUAGCAUCCAGGUCUGUGAGGGUCUGCCCUGGAAGCUAAAGCUCAUGAUGCUGGUCUGUGGCCAGAGGAGUUUUGAGGGGGAGGAGAAAAAUGGAAGUGUCCUGUAAGGAGCAAGGGGGUAUGCAGGGCAGCCAGGAGGGUCUUUGUCUCUCUUCAGGGGUCAAGGAAGAUGCUUUAAGUGGAGCACGGGCAGUCAGAUCUACACUUUUGAGGAUGACUGUGGCUGCUGUGAAGGUUGGGAUGGGCCAGCAGGCAUGGCAUGUGGAGUCCUAUGAGCAGUAAUGACUUCACCUAAAUACAACCUAAAUACCCCAUAAGUAACAGCCAAUGAGGAAAGGACUUGAGAGUUGGAAAUAAGAUAUCCUGACCCAGGACUCAGAACUAGACCUGUGUCUGGGUUUCCUUUUUCUCUGGUAUAGAUUUCUAGAGCAGGGCCCCAGAGAGGUCUCACACACACAGUGGCCAACAGAUACAGGAAAGUCUUCUGGAAAACCCCUUCUCUCUGGCCAGUUGCAGGAGAGACGUAGAACAAUGCUCCAGUACCAGUUCACAGUCUGUCCCCAGUGACAGUGGCAGUCUGACCCUGCUUGCAGAAGGGUUGCCAGUGGGGACUGCGUAGGCUGCGUAGGCAGUGUUGUGGAGCUGCCCAUCAGCACAGAAACCCACAGAAACAUAUUACACUUAUCCUCAGGAUGGCGGACCCCAGAGAUGUACCUUUAACCCCGCAGAUGGCACCAGCAGAAACUGAGUGCCCCCACCAGCACCAGAGCACCAAGCAGACCAGGAGAGCAAGGAAAGGACUCUGGGGACACAGCCAGCAUUGGAACAAGAGGCCACAGAGUCAAGCCAGACUGUACAUGUGACAUACAUCCCCACACUGGCAUUAGCAGCUGCCUGCUAACGUAGAAGAUUUAAAUAGAACCAGGAGUCUCCAAACAGAAUAACCUAAAUGUCCGGCAUACAUUUGAAAAAGACCGCUUAUCAUUCCAAGAACAUUCACACCGUGAAUGUAAAAAGACUGCUCACCGAAAUGGAUGCCAAAAUGAGCCAUCUGCCGAGGACUUGUCGACAGCCAUGAAAAUCGCUUAUAGGAGUAAUUACAAGAAGAAGUGAUUACAAACUCGUUUAAAAUUGAAAAAAAAAAGAUUAAGUUAGCAACAAAAAAGAAAUUGUAAAGCGCCAAAUGGAAAUUAUAGAAUUUGAGAAAACAACCAGAAUAACACUGUCCAUCAUUAGAAGGACAUAGUGGUAGACUGGAGAUGGAGUGCUAGGACUUGCUUGGAUCUGAAACACAAAGAAAAUAGUACAAAGUGUGAACCUAAGCCAAGUUUGGUGGUGCAUGCCUGAAAUUGUAGCACUGAGGAGGCUGAUGUAGAAGGAAGGUUCUGGGCUGCAUGGUAUGAUCCUGUCUCAAAAAAUAAAAUUAAAACUCCCUGAGUCUCA